UUAGUACUUUAUGACCUUGUGUAUAUAUUACAGUAUUAUCUUGAGAAAAAUCUUGAUGCGAGGAUGAGGGAGCUAGAACGUGAGGCCGAGCUGAUAUGCUGAAGGCUCCUAAAAUUAAUGCCAAAUCCAAGAUGUCUAAGGCCGAGAAGGAAGCCCUGAAGAAGCAGAAAAGGCAAGCAUUUCAGCAGGCAAAACAAAAAUCAAAAGGAACGAAGAAUUCUAAGAGGUGGAAUUGAUUGAUUCACCCAUAUUCUUCAUUGAAGAUUCCUCCAAUGUUUCAAUUUUUUUUU